AGAUUGUAGCUCAAUGGUAGAGUGCAUGCUUAGCAUGCACGAGGUUCUGGGUUCAAUCCCCAGUACCUCUG
rnacentral:tRNA from 1 species